GUCGAGAAGCUUCGGCAAUGGGCGAAAGCCUGACCGAGCGACGCCGCGUGAGCGAUGAAGGCCCUAUGGGUUGUAAAGCUCUGUCAGAUUGGGACGAAAACUUCGAGGUUAAUACCCCCGAAGCUUGACGGUACCAUCAGAGGAAGCACCGGCUAACUCCGUGCCAGCAGCCGCGGUAAUACGGAGGGUGCAAGCGUUGUUCGGAUUCACUGGGUAUAAAGGGUGCGUAGGCGGCGCGAUAAGUCAGGGGUGAAAUAUGUCGGCUCAACCGACAAACUGCCUCUGAAACUGCCGCGCUUGAGGUCGGGAGAGGAAGGUGGAAUUCCAGGUGUAGCGGUGAAAUGCGUAAAUAUCUGGAGGAACACCAAUGGCGAAGGCAGCCUUCUGGUCCGAUUCUGACGCUGAGGCACGAAAGCUAGGGGAGCAAACGGGAUUAGAUACCCGAGUAGUCC
rnacentral:rRNA from 1 species